rnacentral:misc_RNA from 1 species
GUGUAAUGUAAUGUAAAUGUAAUGAAAAGCCGGCUACAAGUUUAGACUAACAAAUCAUCUCCAUCUCCUCUGCUAUUCAUCUAAAGCACUAGUUGUUUGCUGAUCACAGUAAACGAUUGAGCUGAAGAUUUGAUUUGAUUGGAUCUUGUAAGUUUGUUAAUAAAUGGGUUGCUUCUCUUGUUUUGAUUCAAAAGAAGAUGAGAAGUUGAAUCCCCAAAAAGAUAGAGAUGAUUCUGACCGCAAGCAACCCCCUCCCUCCAAUAUAUCCAGGUUAUCUUCAGGAGCAGACAGACUUAAAAUAAGAAGUAGUAAUGGUUCAAAGAGAGAAUUUUUGGGGCUAAAGGAUGCACCUGAUGUUCAGAUUGCUGCACAUACAUUUACUUUCCGUGAGCUUGCA